GAGCGGCCGUAGCAAUACGGCAGCGGCAGACGGGAGAGUAACACGUGGGAACGCGCCCUUCGGUUCGGAAUAACUCAGGGAAACUUGGGCUAAUACCGGAUACGCCCUUACGGGGAAAGAUUUAUUGCCGAAGGAACGGCCCGCGUCCGAUUAGCUUGUUGGUGAGGUAACGGCUCACCAAGGCGACGAUCGGUAGCUGGUCUGAGAGGAUGACCAGCCUCACUGGGACUGAGACACGGCCCAGACUCCUACGGGAGGCAGCAGUGGGGAAUAUUGGACAAUGGGCGCAAGCCUGAUCCAGCAAUGCCGCGUGAGUGAUGAAGGCCUUCGGGUUGUAAAGCUCUUUCGCCCGCGACGAUGAUGACGGUAGCGGGAGAAGAAGCCCCGGCUAACUUCGUG
rnacentral:rRNA from 1 species